GGCCUCCCAAUUCUUACCACAGGCUGUGUUCUUUACACUGUAUAGAAAGAGAAGGUACAGUAAGUACAUGCACCCCAUAUACACCUCAACACAGGCCCUUUGUCUGGUUUGUAUUGUGAAAUGGGGGACAAAA